UAUCUUAAACUAGCUGUCCCGGCAAACGUCGUACUGCCUGCCUACUGUGUUUUUUGACGUGCAGCUCGAUAGGGACGUUCCCCGCAAGGUCAUUUGUAUGGGAGCCCCCCGUUCCAGAGACCGGAGAGAUCUCACACCAAGCUAAGAACCUUCCCCGGCCCCGACAGCACCCACAUACAAAAUUUCACACCGAUCGGUCCAGUAGUUUCUGAUUCCAUAGCGGUCAGACAGACAGACAGACAGACAGACAGACAGACAGACAGACAGACAGACAGACAGACAGACAGAAAUUCAUUUUUAUAUAUAUAGAUUAUGGGUUCUUAAGAAUGCUGUGUCAAGUUUUCAUUGAGAUCCAAGCAGUACAAGCAAAAAUAUAGCGCCUCGCUCCCUUACGGGCGCGUAGUGCAAACUUGAAACUUUAAACGCGAUUAUCUCGAAAUUAUGUUUUUUCCAAAAACUUCGAUGCGGUGACUACAAUUGCGGAAACAGUUCUCAAACGAUUUCAACCAAAUUUUUUUGAGUGUUCUCUAUUCAUGUGCCGUGUCCUUGAACGAUCAUCAUUUAAAAAAAAUCAUAACAGUGUUAUGAUGUUUUUCAUACAUUUUCAGCAUAAAAAAAGUGAUUUUUUGGAAAAAGUCGUCCUCGCUUGAAAACUAAAAUCAUUUUUUAAUAUUCUGAUCGUUCAAGGACACCACAAGGCCCUCUAGUAAUGGUAUUCUUUUGGGUUUGUUUUCAGUUGAGCCGUUAGACUGUAAUCAUACUUACGGCAAACCACUUGGAAGAAAACACGUUUGACAGAAAAUGUUAUAACUUUGGUAAAUAGUACUAUUUUUUCAUGUUCUCAAGCUAAUUUUACACAUUAAAUAUUGUACUAUGUAUGACGUAAAACGAGAAUUUGAUAAAAUAUUGUUGCAUACUUUUACAAAAGUUCAAACUUUUCCUUGUUUUCACGCACUUCAACAUAUAUAACCCCUUAAAUGGGGUCUCCAGUUAGCCUAGUGGUUAAGGAUUAGGAUCGCCAAUCCGGAGACGGCGGGUUCGAUUCCCGUUCUGGUCGGUAAAAUUUUCUCGACUCCCUGGACUGGGCAUAGUGUAUCAUUGUACUUGUCUCACAAUAUACACAAAUUCAUGCAAUGGCAGGCAAAGAAUGCCCUUCAAUUAAUAACUGUGGAAGUGCUCAAAGAACACUAAGGCAGCAUCCAUUUAUUACGUAACGCUAAAAUUGUCAUUUUUCGAAACCCCAUUCUCUCUCCGUAACGCUUUUUUGUAUGAAACCCCUUAAAUUUUUGUAUGGGCCGUAACGCUUAGCUGUACUCUCCCCUCCCCCUAGAGCGUUACGUAAUUUAUGGACGGUGCCUAAGUUGAAGUGAGGCAGGCCAAGUCCAAGUGAGGACGUAAAGCUAAAAAGAAGAAGAAGAAGAACCCCUUAAAUGAAAUUAUCUGAAGAUCGUGAGCUCUUAGAUGUGUGAUGUCUUUGGGAAAGUUGUUCAGUAAGUCGAGCGCUUACAGAUACCUAGUGGACCGUUUUAUUCGAAAUGCCACCACUAGGUCUUGCUAAUGAACGUGUAAAUAUUGUACCUCAUAUAUCUCAGGAUCCUAAUCACACAGAAAUAGUGUGUGUUCGGUAAAGUUAUUUGACAACUUCGGAGCUCCACACACAGGUGGCGCUAUAGAGUAUGUACACGGAACCGCCAAACUACCAAAAAUUGAGUUCUUUUGACGCAAUCCCAUAGUUCGGCCCAAUAAGCCAAAUUUGAGUUAAUCGAUUAAACUCACACUAGGUAAAUUGCCUUCACCUCCAGCAAAAACAUUUACUUAAGAGUAGGUAAAUUCAACCCAAGACCCCCCUCAUUCAACCCAAAUUUGAGUAAACCUGCAUUUACCCAACAUUGGCUUAUUGGGCUCAAGGACCCCCGUUGGGUAGAUGCAUCUCUGUUUGUUUUUGACAACAUCGGUGAGGGAAAGAGGGAAAACAACCUAAUUUUGGGUAAUUAGUUUAUUCGAUAUACUCAGCUUUGAGUAAAAUCGACCCAAAAAAUAGGUAGUUUGAUUUCUCCGUGUACAUUUUAUAUUUCAUAUAUAUUAGAAUCCUGGUAAAUGGAGACGGUGUCUUCAGCAAGGUUAUUUGGUAGGUCGAGAAUUUACAGAUGAUAGAAUGUUUGAUUCGGAACUCCACACAAAGAUGGCGUUACUAAUCAUACAAGUUUAAUAUUUCAUAGGGAAAUUUAUGUAUUUUUGGUAGUUUUGUUCUUUUCGGCAUGGAGGGUUUUUUGGAACCCGUUCCAAAUCCAAAUUCCUCAUGAUGAAGACAAUAAACCUGCCGAUAAUACCCACAGUUAUCCUUUAUCCACGGAUCUUGGUUGAUGACUUGCUUCUCCAGUUUGAGAAUUUCUAGUCUGGCUAGUUAAGAACUUAUCAAUGAUAGGCCGAAUCAUUCAAAAUUCUACCACUAGUCGAAGCCUCAUUCCCUCUCCGUAACGCUACAAAGAUUUUUAGCAUUUUAUCGAAUUGGAUUUGUUAGGAUUUUUUUUAGUUUAAAUUUUAAUCACUAACACAAGUAACUAAACCGGUUUAUAAUAUCGAGGGCAAAACAGGUCCGUCGUCCCGUUCAUCGUUUCUCCGGACCAAAAUUUUCAAAGAGCUGGCUCUCGAACUUCCGCCAUGUCAUUUAUAGUCUCCAAAAAGGGGGCGGAGGUGUGGAGGAAGUUGUUGGGGGGGGGGGCUGUGUCUUCCACCACCCUUGGACACACGCCUUAUUCCAUGCAGAUAUUCUUUAUCUUGAUGAUAGAUCUGAAGAUGAUGGUGAUGACAGCCACUUACACUCUGAACAAAUUACAUUAAUCAAGGUGUCUUGUGGAUUUAAGGUAAAAUUCCUUUUGUGACCACAUGCAAUGCCUUAACAAAACCUAACAGACACUUGUUUUCUUUUUUUUUUUGUAAAUAACGAAUAAUUCAAUAAAUUAAAUAAAAAAAAUCUGAAUAAAUAAAUAUGUAUAUGAAGCAUCCAAUAUUAAAUAGUAAAAAAAAUAAAUAAAAUAAAUAAAUAGAUAAAUGAAGCAUCUGAAUAAUAAACAAAUCUACAAUCGGAAUAUAUAAACAGAACAAAACAAAGAAAUAUAUAAAUGAAUCAGCAAUAAAUAAAUAAAUAAAAAGACAGCUUCAAAUACUAAGCGUAAAAUAAACACAACUCAAACACAAAACUGUGGAGACCAACAUUUAUUAUACACCUAAACAUUUAAAUAAAUAAUGAAAAGAUACAAUAUUCAAUAAAAAAAAACAAUAAUAACAAUAUGCUCUGAACCAACAGCUAGCCUUUCCACCACACAAUGCAUUGUUACCCAAACGGUUGGUAACAAAAGUUCCUACUGAUCUUCCCCAGUUUCUUCCGGGUUUCCAUUUUUCUAGGAAUACCUUUGGAAUACCUGGAGGAUUCUCAGAACUCCUUGAGAAAUCUCGGAAGAAAUCCCGUAAAGUCCCUGAACGUAUCUCAGAAGGAGUCCUGGUAGGAGUACAUGGAGGACUCUCAGGCGGAACCAUUAAGGAACCUCAGAAAAAAAAUCCUGGAAGCUCCCUAAAGAAUCACAGAAGGAAAUCCAAGAGGGAUCCAAGAAUAAAUUUGUUGGCAAACCACGGAAGAAAUUCCUGGAAGAAUCUCGGAAUUAAUUUCUAGAGAAAUUAGAAGUAAUCUCAGAAGGUGUUUCUUAAGAAAUCCAGAAUAGAUGCUCUGAAAAAAUACUGGAAGUACAUCCUAGAGGAAUCCUGGCAAGAGCGUUUGAAGGAAUCGCUGACGGAACCUCUUUAGAAAUCUCGGAAGAAACUUCUGGAAGAACCCCAGAGGGAACUUCUGGAAGAAUCUGAACAAGAACUCAUUGGGAACCCCAGAAAAAACCCUUGGAAAAGUCCUGAAACAAAUUUGUAGAGAAAUUACGAAGGAUUUCUUUUGGGAAUGCGGGAUGUAAUUCCUGUGAAAUCCAACAAGGACCUCCUGAAGGAGUGACACCGUGCCGUCAUCAAGUCAUAAAUCAACACACUUUCUCACGCAAGCCAAAUCCAACUACGAGAGCUGGCGAAAAGUGCAAAAGCUGAAGAAAUUUUUCCAAGUCUAAAUCGAAAACGUCAAAGACAAAAUAUUAGCAACCGCGGCUUGCAAUGCGAAUCAAAAGGCACAUCAUUUCUAAGUCGGUAAGUCAUUUUUUUAUCGAAUGUCUGAAACCCAAAUCUUGAACACAUCCUUAACCCUCUAAUACCCAAAUCUUUGAUUUCGAUCUAAAUAUCAUUUUUCGUCAUCUAAAAUCGAUUUAAACAUGUUUUGGAAGAUGAUUCUUUUUAAUUCUCGAUUUCGUGAAUUUCAGUUUUUGAUUUUUCUAAGUUUUAUUUUUGAACAUCCCCACACUUUUAUAUUUUUCCUGGAAGCCAAUUUAGGGAACGGAUUUUUUGAGAUGAAAACAUUUUGAGAUUUUAUGAUUAUUGUUAAAGUAUUAUUAUUUUAAAUUUAUCCCACAGAAAAUGUUAUUUUCCGUGUAAUUUUAAGGAAAAUAUUUUUUUGUAAUUACGUUGUAAAAAGAUCCACUUUUCAAUUGCCUGAAGUGUGCUGAAAUGGCCUACUUUUCUCCACUAAUGCAAGUGUGCCGAAGAGUAUUACUUUUCGGCAUUCUUAAGAGUGCUGAAAAGUAGCACUUUUCGGCACCCUUGCCAGCCUAGGCCAGCACACACUUUUUACAGACUUCCGGGGCUUCCAUAGAUUCGAAAACUGCUUCUGCACUCACUGUCCAUCUCGAAGCAUAACCUAGACGAUUCCUAUCCCGAAUCGGACUGCAGGUCGGGUGAAAAAGCAGCAGCUGAAGCUACUUUUGCGACUUUUGCCGUCGCUUGUCCACAACUGUUUGACAACGGGGGCUCGAUCAUAGGCUACACCAUAGCCUACCUGAUUAAAAAAAAAACUACACUGACAAACAUGGUCGCACGUGGUUUCUCCUAAUGCAUGAUUGUGUAGCGAGGAAAGAUUAUACUGAAUGUGUGUUUUUCGUAAUUACAAAAAAUGUUGUAUGCAACUCGUUGCAAAACUCGAUUUU